rnacentral:rRNA from 1 species
GAUGAACGCUGGCGGCGUGCCUAAUACAUGCAAGUCGAGCGAACAGACGAGGAGCUUGCUCCUCUGACGUUAGCGGCGGACGGGUGAGUAACACGUGGAUAACCUACCUAUAAGACUGGGAUAACUUCGGGAAACCGGAGCUAAUACCGGAUAAUAUAUUGAACCGCAUGGUUCAAUAGUGAAAGACGGUUUUGCUGUCACUUAUAGAUGGAUCCGCGCCGCAUUAGCUAGUUGGUAAGGUAACGGCUUACCAAGGCAACGAUGCGUAGCCGACCUGAGAGGGUGAUCGGCCACACUGGAACUGAGACACGGUCCAGACUCCUACGGGAGGCAGCAGUAGGGAAUCUUCCGCAAUGGGCGAAAACUUGACGGAGCAACGCCGCGUGAGUGAUGAAGGUCUUCGGAUCGUAAAACUCUGUUAUUAGGGAAGAACAAAUGUGUAAGUAACUAUGCACGUCUUGACGGUACCUAAUCAGAAAGCCACGGCUAACUACGUG